rnacentral:misc_RNA from 1 species
UUUCCGUAGGUGAACCUGCGGAAGGAUCAUUCAUAAUAAAGUGUUUUAUGGCACUUUUUAAAAAUCCAUAUCCACCUUGUGUGCAAUGUUAGAUCUCGUCAAUCUUGGCGAGAUUUUUAUACAUCAACUCAUUCUUUAACUAAUUUGUCUGAAAAAUAUUAUGAAUACUUAAUCCAAAAUACAACUUUCAACAACGGAUCUCUUGGCUCUC